rnacentral:rRNA from 2 species
AUAAAGAAAGUAAAAAAGGGCGCAUGGCGGAUGCCUUGGCUCUCGGAGGCGAUGAAGGACGUGAUAAGCUGCGAUAAGCUUUGGGGAGGUGCAAAUGACCUUUGAUCCAGAGAUUUCCGAAUGGGACAACCCAAUAUCUUGAAGAGGUAUUAUCCAACGUUGUUGGAGGCUAACGCAGGGAACUGAAACAUCUUAGUACCUGCAGGAAAAGAAAAUAAACAAUGAUUCCCCCAGUAGUGGCGAGCGAACGGGGAACAGCCCAAACCAUCCAUGUUACGGCAUGGGUGGGGUUGUAGGACUACGCCGUUGCAUGAAGACAUCAGAGAAGAACUUUCUGGAAAGAAAGACCAUAGAGCAUGACAGUUGCGUAUUCGAACGUUGUCGAAGCAUAGUAGUAUCCUGAGUAGCGCGGAGCACGAGGAAUUCUGCGUGAAUCUGCCGGGACCAUCCGGUAAGGCUAAAUACUCCCGAGAGACCGAUAGCGAACCAGUACCGUGAGGGAAAGGUGAAAAGCACUUCGAACAGAAGAGUGAAAUAGUUCCUGAAACCGUGCGCCUACAAGCGGUCGGAGCUCGUUAAUGAGUGACGGCGUGCCUUUUGCAUAAUGAACCUACGAGUUGCCUUUGCCGGCAAGGUUAAGUGUGACGACACACGUAUCCGAAGCGAAAGCGAGUCUGAACAGGGCGUAUAGUCGGCAGUGGCAGACGCGAAACCAAGUGAUCUACCCUUGGCCAGGUUGAAGGCUGGGUAACACCAGCUGGAGGACCGCACCAAUAAGCGUUGAAAAGCUUCUGGAUGAGCUGAGGGUAGGGGUGAAAGGCUAAUCAAACUUGGAGAUAGCUCGUACUCCCCGAAAUGCAUUUAGGUGCAGCCUUGCGGGUUACUGAUGUGAGGUAGAGCGACUGAUAAGAUGCGAGGGCUUCACCGCCUAUCAAGUCUUGACAAACUCCGAAUGCGCAUCAGUUCUACCGCAGGAGUGAGGGCAUGGGUGCUAAGGUCCGUGCCCGAGAGGAGAAGAAUCCGGACCACCUGCUAAGGUCCCGAAAUGACAGCUAAGUUAAACUAACGAAGUCUGACUGCUAAGACAGCUAGGAUGUUGGCUUGGAAGCAGCCAUUCAUUUAAAGAGUGCGUAACAGCUCACUAGUCGAGGAGUCGGGCGUGGAUAAUAAUCGGGUAUUAAGUUGUCUACCGAAGCAGUGGGAUCAUUAAUAUGAUCGGUAGGGGAGCAUUCCAGUCAGCGUCGAAGGCGUACCGUGAGGUAUUCUGGAGCGUCUGGAAAAGCAAAUGUAGGUAUAAGUAACGAUAAAGGGGGCGGGAAACCCCCUCGCCGAAAGACUAAGGUUUCCUGAUCAACGCUAAUCGGAUCAGGGUCAGUCGGGUCCUAAGGCUCAGCCGAACGGCGAUGCCGAUGGCAGAAACGGUUAAUAUUCCGUUACUACCUUCAGGAGUGACGUGGAGACGCAGUAGUGACAGUGCCGCCAUCUGACGGAAUAGAUGGUUGAAGGGUGUAGGAGUCGAUCAUGGCAGGCAAAUCCACCAUGAGAUCCGAACCUGAUAGUAUGCCGCGUCCUUCGGGACAAGGCAAUAGUGCGCGUAAGCAUGCUGCCGAGAAAAUCCGCUAAACUUAAUCCUGCAGGUACCCGUACCGCAAACGGACACACGUAGUCGGGAUGAAUAUUCUAAGGCGCUUGAGUGAUUCACGGUUAAGGAACUAGGCAAACUGACCCUGUAACUUCGGGAUAAAGGGUCCCUACCCUUUUAUGGGAGGGCGCAGAGAAUCGGUCCAGGCAACUGUUUAACAAAAACACAGGGCUGUGCCAAAUCGAAAGAUCCAGUAUACAGCCUGACACCUGCCCAGUGCUGGAAGGUUAAGAGGAGAUGUCAUCGAUAAGAGAAGCGUUGAAUUGAAGCCCCAGUAAACGGCGGCCGUAACUAUAACGGUCCUAAGGUAGCGAAAUUCCUUGUCGGGUAAGUUCCGACCUGCACGAAUGGUGUAAUGAUCUGGACGCUGUCUCAACCGUGAGCUCAGUGAAAUUGUAGUAUCGGUGAAGAUGCCGAUUACCCGCGAUGGGACGAAAAGACCCCGUGAACCUUUACUAUAGCUUAUCAUUGAAUCUGGGCACGUGAUGUGUAGGAUAGGUCGGAGGCUUUGAAGCAGGUACGCCAGUAUUUGUGGAGCCGCUGUUGAAAUACGACCCUUUAUUUGUUUGGAUUCUAACCCGUGGAACGGGGACAUUGAUUGGUGGGUAGUUUGACUGGGGUGGUCGCCUCCAAAAGCGUAACGGAGGCUUCUAAAGGUGCCCUCCGGCCGAUUGGUAACCGGCCUUAGAGUGUAAUGGCAUAAGGGCGCUUGACUGGGAGACUGACAAGUCGAUCAGGUAGGAAACUAGAGCAUAGUGAUCCGGUGUUUCCGUAUGGAAGGGACAUCGCUCAAAGGAUAAAAGGUACUCCGGGGAUAACAGGCUGAUCCCUCCCAAGAGCUCAUAUCGACGGAGUGGUUUGGCACCUCGAUGUCGGCUCGUCACAUCCUGGGGCUGGAGAAGGUCCCAAGGGUUGGGCUGUUCGCCCAUUAAAGUGGCACGCGAGCUGGGUUCAGAACGUCGUGAGACAGUUCGGUCUCUAUCUAUCGUGGGCGUAUGAAAUUUGCGUGGCUCUGACACUAGUACGAGAGGACCGUGUUGGACAGACCUCUGGUUUGCCGGUUGUGCCGCCAGGUGCAUUGCCGGGUAUCUAAGUCUGGAUCGGAUAAGUGCUGAAAGCAUCUAAGUACGAAGCCGGCCACAAGAUUAGAUUUCUCAGGGUCGUUGUAGACUACGACGUUGAUAGGAUGCAGGUGUAAAGAUGGAGACAUCAAAGCCGAGCAUUACUAAUUGCCCGUUCACUUUCCUUA